GACGAACGCUGGCGGCGUGCUUAACACAUGCCAGUCGAACGGAAAGGCCCUGCUUUUGUGGGGUGCUCGAGUGGCGAACGGGUGAGUAACACGUGAGUAACCUGCCCUUGACUUUGGGAUAACUUCAGGUAACUGGGGCUAAUACCGGAUAGGAGCUCCUGCUGCAUGGUGGGGGUUGGAAAGUUUCGGCAGUUGGGGAUGGACUCGCGGCUUAUCAGCUUGUUGGUGGGGUAGUGGCUUACCAAGGCUUUGACGGGUAGCCGGCCUGAGAGGGUGACCGGCCACAUUGGGACUGAGAUACGGCCCAGACUCCUACGGGAGGCAGCAGUGGGGAAUAUUGCACAAUGGGCGGAAGCCUGAUGCAGCAACGCCGCGUGCGGGAUGACGGCCUUCGGGUUGUAAACCGCUUUCGCCUGUGACGAAGCGUGAGUGACGGUAAUGGGUAAAGAAGCACCGGCUAACUACGUGC
rnacentral:rRNA from 1 species